CAUGCAGUCGAACGAUGAAGCCCAGCUUGCUGGGUGGAUUAGUGGCGAACGGGUGAGUAACACGUGAGUAACCUGCCCUUGACUCUGGGAUAAGCGUUGGAAACGACGUCUAAUACCGGAUACGAGCUUCCACCGCAUGGUGAGUUGCUGGAAAGAAUUUUGGUCAAGGAUGGACUCGCGGCCUAUCAGCUUGUUGGUGAGGUAAUGGCUCACCAAGGCGACGACGGGUAGCCGGCCUGAGAGGGUGACCGGCCACACUGGGACUGAGACACGGCCCAGACUCCUACGGGAGGCAGCAGUGGGGAAUAUUGCACAAUGGGCGAAAGCCUGAUGCAGCAACGCCGCGUGAGGGACGACGGCCUUCGGGUUGUAAACCUCUUUUAGCAGGGAAGAAGCGAAAGUGACGGUACCUGCAGAAAAAGCACCGGCUAACUACGUGCCAGCAGCCGCGGUAAUACGUAGGGUGCAAGCGUUGUCCGGAAUUAUUGGGCGUAAAGAGCUCGUAGGCGGUUUGUCGCGUCUGCUGUGAAAUCCCGAGGCUCAACCUCGGGUCUGCAGUGGGUACGGGCAGACUAGAGUGCGGUAGGGGAGAUUGGAAUUCCUGGUGUAGCGGUGGAAUGCGCAGAUAUCAGGAGGAACACCGAUGGCGAAGGCAGAUCUCUGGGCCGCUACUGACGCUGAGGAGCGAAAGGGUGGGGAGCAAACAGGCUUAGAUACCCUGGUAGUCCACCCCGUAAACGUUGGGCGCUAGAUGUGGGGACCAUUCCACGGUUUCCGUGUCGUAGCUAACGCAUUAAGCG
rnacentral:rRNA from 1 species